rnacentral:rRNA from 1 species
AUCUGGUUGAUUCUGCCAGUAGUCAUAUGCUUGUCUCAAAGAUUAAGCCAUGCAUGUCUAAGUAUAAGCACUUUAUACUGUGAAACUGCGAAUGGCUCAUUAAAUCAGUUAUCGUUUAUUUGAUAGUACCUUACUACAUGGAUACCUGUGGUAAUUCUAGAGCUAAUACAUGCUGAAAACCUCGACUUCGGAAGGGGUGUAUUUAUUAGAUAAAAAACCAAUGCCCUUCGGGGCUCCUUGGUGAAUCAUAAUAACUUAACGAAUCGCAUGGCCUUGCCCGGCGAUGGUUCAUUCAAAUUUCUGCCCUAUCAACUUUCGAUGGUAGGAUAGUGGCCUACCAUGGUGGCAACGGGUAACGGGGAAUUAGGGUUCGAUUCCGGAGAGGGAGCCUGAGAAACGGCUACCACAUCCAAGGAAGGCAGCAGGCGCGCAAAUUACCAAUCCCGACACGGGGAGGUAGUGACAAUAAAUACUGAUACGGGGCUCUUUUGGGUCUCGUAAUUGGAAUGAGUACAAUCUAAAUCCCUUAACGAGGAACAAUUGGAGGGCAAGUCUGGUGCCAGCAGCCGCGGUAAUUCCAGCUCCAAUAGCGUAUAUUAAAGUUGUUGCAGUUAAAAAGCUCGUAGUUGAACCUUGGGUCUGGCUGGCCGGUCCGCCUCACCGCGAGUACUGGUCCGGCUGGACCUUUCCUUCUGGGGAAUCUCAUGGCCUUCACUGGCUGUGGGGGGAACCAGGACUUUUACUGUGAAAAAAUUAGAGUGUUCAAAGCAGGCCUUUGCUCGAAUACAUUAGCAUGGAAUAAUAGAAUAGGACGUGCGGUUCUAUUUUGUUGGUUUCUAGGACCGCCGUAAUGAUUAAUAGGGAUAGUCGGGGGCGUCAGUAUUCAGCUGUCAGAGGUGAAAUUCUUGGAUUUGCUGAAGACUAACUACUGCGAAAGCAUUCGCCAAGGAUGUUUUCAUUAAUCAGGGAACGAAAGUUAGGGGAUCGAAGACGAUCAGAUACCGUCGUAGUCUUAACCAUAAACUAUGCCGACUAGGGAUCGGACGGUGUUUCUAUUAUGACCCGUUCGGCACCUUACGAGAAAUCAAAGUUUUUGGGUUCUGGGGGGAGUAUGGUCGCAAGGCUGAAACUUAAAGAAUUGACGGAAGGGCACCACCAGGCGUGGAGCCUGCGGCUUAAUUUGACUCAACACGGGGAAACUCACCAGGUCCAGACAAAAUAAGGAUUGACAGAUUGAGAGCUCUUUCUUGAUCUUUUGGAUGGUGGUGCAUGGCCGUUCUUAGUUGGUGGAGUGAUUUGUCUGCUUAAUUGCGAUAACGAACGAGACCUCGGCCCUUAAAUAGCCCGGUCCGCAUUUGCGGGCCGCUGGCUUCUUAGGGGGACUAUCGGCUCAAGCCGAUGGAAAGUGCGCCGGCAAUAACAGGUCUGUGAUGCCCUUAGAUGUUUGGGCCGCACGCGCGCUACACUGACAGGGCCAGCGAGUACAUCACCUUUGGCCGAGAGGUCUGGGUAAUCUUUGUUAAACCCUGUCGUGCUGGGGAUAGAGCAUUGCAAUUAUUGCUCUUUCAACGAGGAAUGCCUAGUAGGCACGAGUCAUCAGCUCGUGCCGAUUACGUCCCUGCCCUUUGUACACACGCCCGUCGCUACUACCGAUUGAAUGGCUCGGUGAGGCCUUCGGACUGGCUCAGGAGGGUGGCAACGACCCCCAGAGCCGGAAAGUUGGUCAACCCGGUCAUUUAGAGGAAGUAAAAGUCGUAACAAGGUUUCCGUAGGUGAACCUGCGGAAGGAUCAUUA